UACAGAGGUCUCAAGCGUUGUUCGGAUUCAUUGGGCGUAAAGAGCGUGUAGGCGGCCAGGUAGGUCAGCUGUGAAAACUCGAGGCUCAACCUCGAGAUGUCGGCUGAAACCAUCUGGCUAGAGUCCGGAAGAGGAGAAUGGAAUUCCCGGUGUAGCGGUGAAAUGCGCAGAUAUCGGGAAGAACACCCGUGGCGAAGGCGGUUCUCUGGGACGGUACUGACGCUGAGACGCGAAAGCGUGGGGAGCGAACAGG
rnacentral:rRNA from 1 species